CCAAAAGCCCGCCAAACAAUGUCCUCAUUCCAUCUCCUCUCCUCUGGUGGAAAUAAGUUGCAGACCAUGCGCCCCUCCAGCCAGCUGGGUCCGAACAAAGUGGGCCAUCCACACAGCAGCAAGUCGGCCAACAUCUGUCCCCUAAGGCAUCAAUAGCUCGUCCAUCCCAAUUCUCUCCGGGUCACCGUCGGAGCCCGACAACAAAUGUCUCUCCGGAUGAACGAACUGCGCGGACCCACGAGCGGAAGACUGACGGGGUCAGCCGGGCCCAUGGUAGAUCGCGGGUUUAGGUGUGACGUCCAAGGAGAGAACUAUAAAUGGAGAGAGGAGGUAGGAAGGGAGGGAUCCGAAGGCAAAGAUGACGAGAGGGAAGCAAAGGAUCGACUGCGAAGGGAUCCCAGCGCGAGGCCAGGGCCGUCGGCCUCAAAGUUAGCUGUCCCAUCUGCAAGGUACAACUAGCAAACCAGAAUCAGCUUGUGGACCAUUGUGGAUCAAAGCACCCCAAGGAGAAGCCUCCUAGUGAAUCAGGUGGUUAGUUCAUCAUGAAUCGCAACAGGCUCCAGCGUGAGUACUGAACAAGCUGCAUGACUUAGAAGCAUUGUUCACUAGUGGUGGUCCUUUCUCUCUUUUUAUCUUUUUGGUUCUGGAGUAGAAACCAAUGUUAUGCUGAUAUUUGAUCCAGGAGUAACUUUAUGAAUGGAUUUGUCUUUGGACUCCAAAAUGCUUAUGUGAACACAGCCUGUGGCAGUGUAUUACAGUGUUCAUAACAAUAUAUAACAUGUUUUUCUUACUUGAGCUAGGAUUGGAUCAAUAUCAUAUGGUUUGUUGUUUUGCUCU